GUUUUGUUCCCUUUUUUGUUGGGCUAAUGGUGAAAACUGAUUUUUGAAUAGGCUAUAUGCGGAAAUGGGUAAAUCAAUUCAUAUAAAUGUUAAUAUUCGUAAGAACUUUCAUGUUUGCUUGCAAACAAAGGCAUUCUCUAAAUUUUACAAAGUUAAAAUGAUAUUGCAUCUAUGAAUACGGACUUGAAUCUAUUUGUCUAACUAGACGAAGGAUUUGAAUAUGUAUGUCUAGCUAAUUAGCUUGCCCUUUUAUGGGACUUGUACAUUUCAUGAUAGUCUGGAAACUUCUAUACUACUUCAACAUUUGAACUUGUCUAUUGAAACAUUAGCGUUUGAGUUUGAUAGAUUUUUAGUAUUUAACAUAUUUCUGUAAUCUGAAUAGCAAGAAGCUGAUACAGUUCAUCUAUAAUGGUAUAAUGACUCUUUGAGUGCAUUUAAUUUCACUCUUCCAUGUCCUAUUUGAUUGACUGGCUUGCUGGAAAGACUAAAUUUUUCUUUGCAUUUGCUGAGCAUGGAGUGAUUUUGUCGGAAUUUGUUGCUAGAUUAAUGAUUUCUCGUUAAACAGACAGUUAAUUUUGGAGUUUAUUUUAUUGGAAUUUGCUUUUAUAACACAUUGGUUUGACCAUUUCAUGUAGCUAGUUACCCUAGCCCUAAAUUUGAUUGUAGAUUUGGCAAGAGAAUUGUGAAAAGGUGAAAUAAGGGAUUAAAGAUCAAAUAAAGGGCUGAUUUGCACUAACUGGAAAAAUAACUUCUGGAAAAUUUCUUCUAUUGGUGUCUUUUUUGAAUUAGGGUAUUGUGGUUGUCUCUAAGGGGAAAAUCCGGUGCUAAAGACUUGAGAUCUCCAUCAAGAGUAUCAUAUCUGAAUCCUGUUGAGUUUGUGGUUAUGGGAGGGGGUGAACUGCCAUUAUUGCAUAUCUCAUUUGACAUUCUCAAUUACCAAUAUGAGUCCCACUGGUCCGUAUUUGUUAGAAUGAUGUUUGUAUUUUUACUUAAGCAUUUGUAUUCAGAUUGUAAAGAUAAAUAUGCCUUGGGAUGGUUGAAGAAACUAUUGAUGCAUGUGGCCUGUUAGGUUCAAAUUUCUUAUUUUGGCAAUAUAUAUACCUUCCUUAAUUAAUAAAAAUUUUUAAUUGUAGCAGGGGUCAUCUCAAUUUUUUGAUGCGUGCAGCAAAAUUUUUAGUGUUAAACCCAAUGGGGUCUCUCAGAAAGCUAGGCUUAAUAUCUCCAGUGCAAUAAAUAUGGCUGCCGGACAACCAGGUGAACCUGAGAAGUUAAAAUUUGACCAUCUUAUGAACAAGGCUAGAAAAAUAUGGGACAGUUCUCCUCAGCCAGUCAAGACUUUUCCCUGGAACAGAGCAUUGGAGAACUUCAUUCAACUCAUCGUUGAUCUUAUCAUUGCAGUUAUCAAAUACUUGUGUGUACCUUUAUUGGCAGUUUCCUCUCUUAGUGAGAUGUCAUAUUGUGCGCAUCAAAAGAAGCUAUUCUUUGUUCCUUUUCCUCUCCUUAUUGGCAUUGCUGUUGCUGGAGUCCUAAAAGAAACUGCCUUGGAACUGUCUCCACUUCUCAAGGAUGCAGAAGUUCCCUGGCAUCUGAUUGCCAUAGCAAUAUUUUUUACAUUGAUCAAAUUGCCGGGUCCAUAUUACCCAUACUGGGGCCGCAUAUUUAUUCCACAAGUUGCAAAUGGGGUGUUAUGGAGAACUUUAUGGUCUGCACUUUUGUGGUAUAGAAGACCCAGGAAGGGGUCAGGAGCAGCAUUACACCAAAAUUCAGUAAAUGACAGUCAGUCUGAAACAAAUAAACUCUAAUACGAGGAAACUCAACUCAAGAUGAGACAUUCUGCCUAGAAGUCUCGAAACGGGAGGCGAUUCUAAUCGCAAUAUUAAAGGUUCUGUGCAUCAAUGUUCAUGGCGGUUAAAGUGAAUGAUAAAGUGAUUGAUGACAUCUUCAUCAAUUUUUCCCCAACCAUUGUUAACAAAGGUUUUCUGAGUAUUUGGAAGAUAAUUACCAGUCUUGUUUUAAGCAAUAGUAUCCAUUCAUUUGUGGUUAGCUUUUCUUUUCACAAGUUCAGUUUGAAUUUGAACAUCCAUAAGAUGUAAUCAAUGGUUAGAUUGAUAACAUUUUAGAUAUGGUUUCUCUGUAAGUUUUUCUCUUUUUUAAACCUUUUCAGGAGAGAUUUCUCUAUAAAGUUGAAAGUAUGGUCUUGAAUCUUUAUUA
rnacentral:misc_RNA from 1 species